GGAGGGUGCAAGCGUUAUCCGGAUUCACUGGGUUUAAAGGGUGCGUAGGUGGGCAAGUAAGUCAGUGGUGAAAUCUCCGGGCUUAACCCGGAAACUGCCAUUGAUACUAUUUGUCUUGAAUACUGUGGAGGUCAGCGGAAUAUGUCAUGUAGCGGUGAAAUGCUUAGAUAUGACAUAGAACACCAAUUGCGAAGGCAGCUGGCUACACAAAUAUUGACACUGAGGCACGAAAGCGUGGGGAUCAAACAGGAUUAGAUACCCUGGUAGUCCACGCCCUAAACUAUGGAUACUCGACAUUUGCGAUACACAGCAAGUGUCUGAGCGAAAGCAUUAAGUAUCCCACCUGGGAAGUACGAUCGCAAGAUUG
rnacentral:rRNA from 1 species